AUGUAUACUUAUCAAUCUUUAUAUGGAUAUUGAUCAUUGACAAUGCUUUAGAUAAAGGGUCCCCUUCUUAUAUAUAAAAGCAUCGUUACAGCAUAUUUCAAUGCGACAAAGGUCUCGUAGGAAACAUUCGUCACAUUUUUAUAAGCAAGAUGAAGGGCCUUAUAGUUAUCCUCUCCGUGUUGUGCUUGAUGGUAGCACAGAUUGAAGCCCGGAGAACGGGAUUGCUCGCUGGAUUAGCUCUAGGAUAUGUAGGUUCGAGGCUGCUCAACAGGGGAGGGUAUGGUAGAUUCCACGGUGGAUACCACGGUGGAUACCACGGUGGAUACCACGGUGGAUACCAUGGCGGAUAUAUGACACACGACCCGUAUCAUCAUCACCACCACUACCCAAGCUACGGCUACCCACUCCAUGGUAUGGUCGGAGGCGGUCUUGGUGGCCUUGGUGGCGGCUUUGGUGGCCUUGGUGGCGGCUUUGGUGGCCUUGGUGGCCUUGGUGGCCUUGGUGGCGGCUUUGGCGGCUUUGGUGGCUUUUUUUAGAGAAUUAUCUGGUAUUCGCCAAACCUUCCUGUGACCAUCAAAACCAUUUUGUUGAAGUGUGAACCAUCUGUCGGUGUGUCGACCUAUGUCCUUUGAGUCAUUAGAUUUAGAAAUUGCCAUUCACAUAAAGUUUUUAUUAAAAUGCAAA